rfam:Lactobacillus ruminis ATCC 27782, complete genome.
UGCGAUGAGUCGAGAGGGACCAGGCAACUUCGGUUGUUCCGCUGCGGCGGCUGGUGGUCAUUUUUCGAAGCGGGGUACAAUGUUGCCGGAUUGCAACGUGCCUGGUCGGAUGCAUUGUGGAGUGC